UACGUAGGGGGCAAGCGUUGUCCGGAAUUAUUGGGCGUAAAGAGUACGUAGGCGGUCUGUUAAGCGCAAGGUGAAAGGCAUAGGCUCAACCAAUGUGAGCCUUGCGAACUGGCAGACUUGAGUGCAGGAGAGGAAAGCGGAAUUCCUAGUGUAGCGGUGAAAUGCGUAGAUAUUAGGAGGAACACCGAUGGCGAAGGCGGCUUUCUGGACUGAAACUGACGCUGAGGUACGAAAGCGUGGGGAGCAGACAGG
rnacentral:rRNA from 1 species